AGAGUUUGAUCCUGGCUCAGGAUGAACGCUAGCGGCAGGCUUAAUACAUGCAAGUCGAGGGGCAGCAUGACUGUAGCAAUACAGUUGAUGGCGACCGGCAAACGGGUGCGGAACACGUACAGAACCUUCCUUCGAGCGGGGAAUAGCCCAGAGAAAUUUGGAUUAAUACCCCAUAGCAUAACGGAGUGGCAUCACUCUGUUAUUAAAGAUUUAUCACUUGAAGAUGGCUGUGCGGCUGAUUAGAUAGUUGGCGGGGUAACAGCCCACCAAGUCUACGAUCAGUAGCUGAUGUGAGAGCAUGAUCAGCCACACGGGCGCUGAGACACGGGCCCGACUCCUACGGGAGGCAGCAGUAAGGAAUAUUGGUCAAUGGACGCAAGUCUGAACCAGCCAUGCCGCGUGAAGGAUUAAGGUCCUCUGGAUUGUAAACUUCUUUUAUCUGGGACGAAAAAAGGCGAUUCUUCGUCACUUGACGGUACCAGAUGAAUAAGCACCGGCUAACUCCGUGCCAGCAGCCGCGGUAAUACGGAGGGUGCAAGCGUUAUCCGGAUUCACUGGGUUUAAAGGGUGCGUAGGCGGGUAGGUAAGUCAGUGGUGAAAUCCUGGAGCUUAACUCCAGAACUGCCAUUGAUACUAUCUAUCUUGAAUAUUGUGGAGGUAAGCGGAAUAUGUCAUGUAGCGGUGAAAUGCUUAGAUAUGACAUAGAACACCUAUUGCGAAGGCAGCUUACUACGCAUAUAUUGACGCUGAGGCACGAAAGCGUGGGGAUCAAACAGGAUUAGAUACCCUGGUAGUCCAA
rnacentral:rRNA from 1 species